CAAAAAAAAAAACUAAAACGUCAAAAGUUCGUGAUUUCCGUAUGUCACAAACAUGUAUUUAAAUCUUGAAUCUUUUAGCACAUGAAAAGGAGGUAGCUACGUAGGCAACAACAACGAUCGAUUGAGUUUGACGGCGAACAUGGAUUCUGCUACGAAGUCCUUCUCUGUCCGACAGACAUUUGACCAAUUUUUUUUAUUUUUUAUUAUUAUUGAUCCUAGUUCUGGCGACAAUCGGCGGAUUUAAGUGCUUUCAGAUUAAGUUAAAGGAAUAAUAAAGCCGAACAGAAUCUGAAAAAA